CUAGAAAACAACACAGGUUUUUUAUUUUGGCUAAAAACAGCAUUAUCAUAAUUGUAAGACAACUGGGAACACUUUAAGAAAUUCAGGGGUCAUCUUCAGUUUAGGACCUGUGGAAAAAAUAAUUUCCAUGGAAGUUUUUGGUACACAAUAAUAAAUUUCUGUGGGGUGGACCGAACAUGACUCUGCCUUCCCUCUGACUUAUCCAACCCGCCUUUUUUAGAGUUGAGUCAAUAAUACUACGCCACAUGAUAUUAGUGAUUAUCUGUCCAUGUAAUCUACUGCAUGUCGAUGGUUCCACCCGGUGCUGAAGCAGAACAAAGCUUUGCUGCUGGAGCCUGAGGCAGGAGGAGUUUAGUGUGUCCCUCAUCUGGAGUCGGAAACUGCAAAGCUUUGAUCUACUGUGUCUUUAGACAUCAUGAGAACAACUGGAGGAUGUGUGGAAAACACACACAACCAAAAUGGUUACUUUUAUGCCAGAACAACCUUGAUGAGUAUACUGGACCGGCCCAAGAACAAACUACUGACCAGUCCAGGGUGUACCCCGCCUUUGCCCAACAGCAGCUGGCUUGGCUCCAGCAGCCAUGUGACCCCAAAAUGAAUUAAUAAGCAGAUUGUAUAGAUGGAUGGAUGAAUGAAGAAAAAUGCUCCACCCUCCCCUUUACAGUUGUCAAGAAUAAGAAAUCAUGCAAUGUACUCUACAAAUAUCCUGGAAACUAGACUUAAAACGUGGAGUAAAUCUGACUAGAAUCAGUAACUUACUUAUUUAUAACUGACUUUUGAAACCAGCCUCCAAUGUUUUUUGCCAGAACUUCAACAUUUGCCACUUCCUUGUUUGCUUAAAAUUUUGGAAUGGACACUUGGGAUUUAGGAAUCCUCAACUGUAGAACUGAACCCUGGAUUUAGCUUGGAAGUCUCUAUACUUGUUUCAGUUUUUGUGAUGAAGGAAGUGGAAGAAAUUAGAGCAGAAAUGUGUGAGGGAGAUGUGACGUACAAAUUUACAUUGACACAGGUGACAAAAAGACCAGUGUGGAAGUCCAGGUAAUACAAUACGUGGUAACCCCAUUGUAAACUGUGGUUCAAACUUUGAACAUAAUUUGUCAGAGAGCCAUAGAACAUCAUUUAAUGUAGCACCAACUCAAAAUAAAAAUAAAAAUAAAAGAAUUUCUUGC